rnacentral:tRNA from 1 species
AUUCUGUUAAAAGAAAUUUUCAUUUUCUUUACAUCUUAAAAUACAGAAUU